UAACUACGAUUGAUAGUGGUCCUUAGCUCAAAUCCAAGUACUCUCUUACAAACCUCUUCCUUUAACAAAAAUGACUGCAUAUCCAUUUCCACUAUGUUCAGGAGCUUCACUGAAUAGGGAUUCCUGAAAUGAAUAGAAACACUCAACAUUUUCCUGUGCAAAUGCAUAAAAACCUAGCAAACAUGUCCCCCAACUGAAAUCUGUUCCGAUCCUCUAAGU